ACCGAUGAUGAGUGUCAUCCCUCCUGAACGGAUGAGGAGAUUAUCCCCACCUGAGG
rnacentral:snoRNA from 1 species